UGGGGAAUAUUGCACAAUGGGCGCAAGCCUGAUGCAGCCAUGCCGCGUGUGUGAAGAAGGCCUUCGGGUUGUAAAGCACUUUCAGCGGGGAGGAAGGCGAUAAGGUUAAUAACCUUGGCGAUUGACGUUACCCGCAGAAGAAGCACCGGCUAACUCCGUGCCAGCAGCCGCGGUAAUACGGAGGGUGCAAGCGUUAAUCGGAAUUACUGGGCGUAAA
rnacentral:rRNA from 1 species